rnacentral:rRNA from 1 species
UACGAGGGGUGCAAGCGUUGCUCGGAAUUAUUGGGCGUAAAGGGUAGGUAGGUGGUCUCAUUUGUCUGGGGUGAAAGCCUCGAGCUUAACUCGAGAAGUGCCCCAGAAACGGUGAGACUUGAGUCUUGGAGAGGCUAGCGGAAUUCCCGGUGUAGCGGUGAAAUGCGUGGAUAUCGAGAAGAACACUAACGGCGUAAGCAAGACUCUGGACAAGUGUUGACGCUCAUGCACGAAGGCUAGGGUAGCGAACGGG